UGGAGGGCUCCACACACACCUGAAUACAAAAGUAUUCAGUUGUGUGGUGAUGAGCACUAAAUCAGGUUUGUUAAUCGAGAGCUCUCGUGUUGUCUGUGUUUACCUCCACAACAUUUUAUAGUGAAUCAUUUAACCAACGGUAGGAAGUCUUUAAGCAUUCUUUUAGGAAUGGGGUAUAACAGACAUGCUGAUGGAGCUGAGGAAACUGUAUUGUUCUUUCUUUGUGAUUGUUUUAUGCUUAAUUCAGUUUUGGUUGGUUCGUUGGUCUGUGAGCAGACACAGUUUCUAUGGUGAUGGGGUUUGGGGUCAUAGCAGGAGGAGAGAAACUGCAGAGAGGUGCGUAAGACUGCAACUCGUUCCUGGUUGCAACGCUGGAUAGUCAUGUGAUUUCUAAAACAGAGAUAUUACGCAAAUGCAAGAAAUCAAGCCUAUGGACAGGAUUUCUGUUUACCCUCUGCUUGUUGGUAGGUAGAUGACAUUUUUGACCCAAACCAGCACAGUCAUACUUCCAAUUGUGUCUUAAAACCAUACUUGUGUGCAUCUGUAAAUGGAUAUAGUAUAAGUUCAAAUAAAAUAAUGAAGCUUUGGGAAUCUAAAUGUAAUCCUUCAAAUGUACUAGUUUACAGUGUUAUCAUUUUAGUUGAACAACGAAGUGAUAUCUGGAGAAUCAAGGAAAUAGAAUCCAUGCAACAGACACCUACUCAUAGUUUGGCACACCUUCUUUCAAACAAAUGCAAACAUUGUUGCUACGCAGACAAAGGUUCUGCUCAUUUUAAAUAUCAAAUUCUCCCAAAGACUGCGUGAAAGUGAAACACUGCCCCACAAACUACUACACAGUCUCUAAAUGUAUUAUAUUUGGGUAUUUGUAGGCAUUCUCCACACACAACAAAAGAUACUUAAUUGACCGUGGUUAAAAGAGAUAAAGAUAGUAAGCACACUGACGGGUGUGUUCAUGGAGGUAAACUAAACCCUAACACCUCUACAAGCAUAACCACAGGUCAACUUUCCCAUCUCUGUUUUUCAAAGAAAACUCUUCAUAGCAACAACUCUUGGCUCUCUUCCUCCAUCACUUUCACUUUCCUGACUUUGUUGCUCUGUGACCACAAAUAAGCACAACAGUGUCUGUCUGCAGACUGGGAGAAUUACAAACUGCAAUAGUUUUCAUGCUGAAACUCUAAAUUUAAAAGUGUUUUUAACAAGCUGCUUUUAGUGAUGAUGACAGGCUUGAUCUCGUAGCCUUCAUCCUGAACCCAGAGUUCUCUCAGUGGUUACAUAGUUUUACUAAAAGGCUACAAUCCAGCAGUCAUUUAUACAUUUGUAGCCCUGGCUAUGUAAGUAGCUCAUUUAUUUAAAUAGUUCAUUUGUUUUGAUAGUUAAUAGCAAAUGUUCACUGUGUUCAAGGAUGUGUACAAAUGCCUGUAAGGUAUGUGAUGUGUGUCAGUUAAAUGCACAGCCUUUUUAUUUGCAUUUUGAGAUGUAUGUCAUUAUUUUUGAAAUGUUAUUGAUAUGUACUACAGCUCCAGUGAACCCUGAAGUAGUCUCGGGUAGAGGGGGUGGGAGUAAGUGGGGAGCCGGGUGCACUCUGCAGGAAGAGAGAGAGACUGAACAACAGUGUCGCGUGAACGAAGAGUUCAUAGAAGGGCAACAGACUUAUUGUCAGGUUGACGGAUAGUUAACUGGAGUAGAAAACUGUUGUACCCUACCGUGAGGAGGAGACCGACGUCUUGCUGGCGUGUCAGAGAGGUCCCUUCUGCUGGUGUGCUGAACUUUCGUGUUAACGUGGGAACACGUGGAUAUGGCGACUGUGAAUGCUGCUGCCGCGGCCUGCUGGUGGCCUUGACCCAAUUUCCCCUGCUAUCCCAUUGAACUGCCUGGAGGUGUGAGUACUAUGAACAGAGUGUGACUGAGUGCUGGAGAGGAGAGACAUCAGAGUGCAGAAUAAGAAUUGUUUGCAUGUUUCCCUCCAUCAACAAAGUGAAAUGCAAGGAAUCCAUGUACGUAGAUCUGCAUUGAUACCCAAGCCUGCGAUGGAGCAUGAAGGAGAGACGCGUAACUAAA